CAGUAGCCGCGGUAAAACGGAGGGUGCAAGCGUUAAUCGGAAUUACUGGGCGUAAAGCGUACGUAGGCGGUUUGUUAAGUCAGAUGUGAAAUCCCCGAGCUUAACUCGGGAACUGCAUUUGAAACUGGCAGGCUAGAGUCUCGUAGAGGGGGGUAGAAUUCCAGGUGUAGCGGUGAAAUGCGUAGAUAUGUGGAGGAAUACCGAUGGCGAAGGCAGCCCCCUGGGAUAACACUGACGCUCAGGCACGAAAGCGUGGGGAGCAAACAGGAUUAGAUACCCGUGUAGUCCCUGUCUCUUAUAA
rnacentral:rRNA from 1 species